rnacentral:lncRNA from 1 species
AAAAUUCCAGGUCAGCGAACAACACACCCUCCACGUAAAUUGGAAAAGCGCAAAUGUACUCUGGAUGAGAAGGCACUGGCUCAGCCUCCAGGGAACAACGGGGCUGCUAUUCAUAGAAAAGCCUGCUAUUAGCAUUUGCCUGGCAUUUGAGUUAGGCUCACCUAACUGCCUUCCCCAUAGAGAUUGCUGAGCUCAGUUGCUGAACACUGAGGGGCUGAGGUUGCACUCGACCGUUCAUGAUCAGCCCUCCACCCACAGUCCUGCUACCUGGAGAGUCACAGAGGUCCUAGUGUGGUCCUGAGCUGAGGGCAGGUGAGAAUCUGGGCCCAUCAUAGUCCAAAGUGGCCAGGGCAGUGGUUCUCCACCUUCCCAGUGCUGA